rnacentral:rRNA from 1 species
GACGAACGCUGGCGGCGUGCCUAAUACAUGCAAGUAGAACGCUGAAGCUUGGUGCUUGCACCGAGCGGAUGAGUUGCGAACGGGUGAGUAACGCGUAGGUAACCUGCCUGGUAGCGGGGGAUAACUAUUGGAAACGAUAGCUAAUACCGCAUAAGAGUAGAUGUUGCAUGACAUUUGCUUAAAAGGUGCAAUUGCAUCACUACCAGAUGGACCUGCGUUGUAUUAGCUAGUUGGUGAGGUAACGGCUCACCAAGGCAACGAUACAUAGCCGACCUGAGAGGGUGAUCGGCCACACUGGGACUGAGACACGGCCCAGACUCCUACGGGAGGCAGCAGUAGGGAAGCUUCGGCAAUGGACGGAAGUCUGACCGAGCAACGCCGCGUGAGUGAAGAAGGUUUUCGGAUCGUAAAGCUCUGUUGUAAGAGAAGAACGAGUGUGAGAGUGGAAAGUUCACACUGUGACGGUAGCUUACCAGAAAGGGACGGCUAACUACGUG